rnacentral:misc_RNA from 1 species
AAACCCUCGACUCCAUUCUUUGGAAUCGGACCUGGGCUUUCGCGGGGGAUCCUCUCGCCGGCCCGAAAUCGAAUCGCACGUCGUGUCACCUUGGAUCCGCCGAAUUUCGCAUUUGGCAGGCCCCUCACCCUAAAGCGUCAUAGUUGGCUGCGCCAUCUUUCGCUGACUUUGGGAAUUGUGCGCGCCGCGUGUGCUUUUCUCUGUUGCUAGAGAUUUCUCGCACAAGAAAAAUUUUGAA